GAAUGAAGUGAUGACUAACAAAGAUGAAUUGAUAGCCAGUAUGAUGGCUGUUUAUCAUGUAUUAGCUCUACCUGAUCAUUC